rnacentral:lncRNA from 1 species
CAGGACAUCAAGGUAUUCAGGAAAAGACAUGGAAGAUUUCUAGAACUUGUUCAAGCAGAGGCAAGAAUGAUGGGCAAAUCCACCCCACUACCCAGACUCCAGGCUCUGUACCUGAGGUGGCAGAGGGAUGCUGAAGGCAGGAGAGGGAAGGACCACACCGGCAGUAGCUCUCAGGUCCUUUCCCUGGGCAUGCCCCCUUGGGGAUGGCACAGGACUUGACCAAAAUGUAACUAAUGAGCUUCCCACCCAAGCAGCGCUUCUCCUAGGAUUCAUGCUUGCAGGGAAAGGUUGACUAGAGCCACCACCUACUGAGUUAUCUGCUCUGAAAAGCCAGGUGUCCUGGCCACUCCCGCCUCCGGGUCUGUUACCUGCAUCCCCUCCCUGGCCAUACUCUUGGCUCAGCCCCACCUCUGGCUUCCUUUAUACAAUCAGUUGCUCCCUGCUCCCACUACCAUCCUUCCUUCUUUUCCAUCUUCA